rnacentral:rRNA from 1 species
UACAGAGGUGCCCAAGCGUUGUUCGGAUUUACUGGGCGUAAAGGGUGCGUAGGUGGUGAGGUAAGUCUGAAUGUGGAAAUCUCCGAGCUUAACUCGGAAAAUGGCAUUGGAAACUACCUUUGCUAGAGGGUUGGAGGGGGGACUGGAAUAACUUGGGUGUAGCAGUGAAAUGCGUAGAGAAUCUGAGGAAGACCAGUGGC